UGUUAAACCGGAGGAAGGUGGGGAGUGACGUCAAGUCCUCAUGGCCUUUAUGCUUAGGGCUACACACGUGCUACAAUGGGUGGUACAAAGAGAAGCCAACUCGCGAGAGCGCGCCAAUCUCAAAAAGCCAUCCUCAGUUCGGAUUGGAGUCUGCAACUCGACUCCAUGAAGUUGGAAUCGCUAGUAAUCGCGGAUCAGCAUGCCGCGGUGAAUACGUUCCCGGGCCUU
rnacentral:rRNA from 1 species